rnacentral:rRNA from 1 species
AACAAACGCUAGCGGCGCGUUUUAAGCAUGCAAGUCGAACGGUAGCGCAUCUUCGGAUGCGCGAGAGUGGCGAACUGGUGAGUAACACGUAGGUGAUCUGCCUUAUGGUUGGGGAUAGCUCAUGGAAACAUGAAUUAAUACCGAAUAUCUUCUUCGCGCUAUGGCGCAAAGAAUAAAGACGCAUUGGCGUCGCCAUAAGAUGAGCUUGCGGCAUAUUAGCUUGUUGGCGGGGUAAUGGCCCACCAAGGCGAUGAUAUGUAGCCGGCCUGAGAGGGUGUACGGCCACACUG